rnacentral:rRNA from 1 species
UACGUAGGGUGCAAGCGUUUAAUCGGAAUUACUGGGCGUAAAGCGUGCGCAGGCGGUUUUGUAAGUCUGACGUGAAAUCCCCGGGCUCAACCUGGGAAUUGCGUUGGAGACUGCAAGGCUGGAGUCUGGCAGAGGGGGGUAGAAUUCCACGUGUGAGCAGUGAAAUGCGUAGAGAUGUGGAGGAACACCGAUGGCGAAGGCAGCCCCCUGGGCUAACACUGACGCUCAGGCACGAAAGCGUGGGGAGCAAACGAGGAUUAGAAACCCGUGGUUAG